rnacentral:rRNA from 1 species
CGCGUAGGUGGUAGUGUAAGUCUGGGGUGGAAUCCCAGGGCUCAACCCUGGAACUGCCUUGGAAACUGCAUUACUUGAGUCAGUGAGGGGAGGGUAGAAUUCCUGGUGUAGCGGUGAAAUGCGUAGAUAUCAGGAGGAAGGCCUGUGGCGAAGGCGGCCCUCUGGCGCUGGACUGAUACUGAGGCGCGAAAGCGUGGGGAGCAAACAGGAUUAGAUACCCUGGUAGUCCACGCCCUAAACGGUGGGCACUAGGUGUAGGGCUCGUAAGGGUUCUGUGCCGAAGGGAAACCAUUAAGUGCCCCGCCUGGGGAGUACGGCCGCAAGGUUGAA